rnacentral:misc_RNA from 1 species
GAUGAAGAACGCAGCGAAAUGCGAUAAGUAAUGUGAAUUGCAGAAUUCAGUGAAUCAUCGAAUCUUUGAACGCACAUUGCGCCCGCCAGUAUUCUGGCGGUCAUGCCUGUUCGAGCGUCAUUACAACCCUCAGGCCCCCGGGCCUGGCGUUGGGGAUCGGCGGAGCCCCCCGUGGGCACACGCCGUCCCCCAAAUGCAGUGGCGGUCCCGCCGCAGCUUCCAUCGCGUAGUAGCUAACACCUCGCGACUGGAGAGCGGCGCGGCCACGCCGUAAAACACCCAACUCUUCUGAAGUUGACCUCGAAUCAGGUAGGAAUACCCGCUGAACUUAAGCAUAUCAAUAAGCGGAGGA